rnacentral:rRNA from 1 species
AGCGAACGCUGGCGGCGUGCCUAACACAUGCAAGUCGAACGUGAAAAGGGAAACCUGAGUAAAGUGGCGUACGGGUGAGUAACGCGUAGGUAAUCUACCCCAGAAUCUGGAAUAACCUGCCGAAAGGCGGGCUAAUACUGGAUAGAGCGAGGGAACUCGUAAGAGAGUUUUUCGGGAAAGGGAGCCCGCAAGGGCCUUCGUUCUGGGAUGAGCCUGCGUCUCAUUGGCUAGUUGGUAAGGUAACGGCUUACCAAGGCGAUGAUGAGUAGCUGGUCUGAGAGGAUGAUCAGCCACACUGGAACUGAAACACGGUCCAGACUCCUACGGGAGGCAGCAGUGGGGAAUCUUGCGCAAUGGACGAAAGUCUGACGCAGCCACGCCGCGUGAGUGAAGAAGGCCUUCGGGUUGUAAAGCUCUGUCGGAUGGGACGAACAUCUUCAUAGUGAAUAGCUAUGGGGACUGACGGUACCAUCAAAGGAAGCACCGGCUAACUCCGUG